UUUAAAUUGAGAGUUUGAUCCUGGCUCAGGACGAACGCUGGCGGCGUGCCUAACACAUGCAAGUCGAGCGAGAAACUUUUGUUUCUAGCGGCGGACGGGUGAGUAACACGUGGAUAACCUGCCUCAUAGUGGGGGAUAGCCUCCCGAAAGGGAGAUUAAUACCGCAUAUUAUUAAAUCUUCGCAUGAAGAUUUAAUGAAAGGAGCAAUCCGCUAUGAGAUGGGUC
rnacentral:rRNA from 1 species